GACGAACCGUGCGAACGUUGUUCGGAAUCACUGGGCUUAAAGGGCGCGUAGGCGGGCUCGCCAGUCAGGGGUGAAAUCCCACGGCUCAACCGUGGAAGGGCCUUUGAUACUGCGGGCCUCGAGGGAGGUAGGGGCGUGCGGAACUUCCGGUGGAGCGGUGAAAUGCGUAGAUAUCUGGAGGAACACCGGUGGCGAAGGCGGCAUCCUGGACCGGCAUUGACGCUGAGGCGCGAAAGCUAGGGGAGCAAACGGG
rnacentral:rRNA from 1 species